rnacentral:rRNA from 1 species
GACGAACGCUGGCGGCGUGCUUAACACAUGCAAGUCGAACGGUAAGGCCCUUUCGGGGGUACACGAGUGGCGAACGGGUGAGUAACACGUGGGUGAUCUGCCCUGCACUUUGGGAUAAGCCUGGGAAACUGGGUCUAAUACCGGAUAGGACUACGCGAUGCAUGUCGUGUGGUGGAAAGCUUUUGCGGUGUGGGAUGGGCCCGCGGCCUAUCAGCUUGUUGGUGGGGUGAUGGCCUACCAAGGCGACGACGGGUAGCCGGCCUGAGAGGGUGUCCGGCCACACUGGGACUGAGAUACGGCCCAGACUCCUACGGGAGGCAGCAGUGGGGAAUAUUGCACAAUGGGCGCAAGCCUGAUGCAGCGACGCCGCGUGGGGGAUGACGGCCUUCGGGUUGUAAACCCCUUUCAGCACAGACGAAGCGUAAGUGACGGUAUGUGCAGAAGAAGCACCGGCCAACUACGUG